AUUCCAUCAAGGAAAUAAGAUCCCUUAAAGACGAUAAGGUAGAUAGGUUCAAGGUGUAAGUGCGGUAACGCAUUCAGCUGAUGAAUACUAAUAGAUCGAAGGUUUAUUCUA
rnacentral:rRNA from 1 species